AUCAAGACCCUGAGAACAGAAAUGCUAUGUUUAUCCACAGGGCAUGUUCAGCACUGCCAACAGCUGUGCUGUUUUUACCAAGCAAUGUUCCUCAACUGUGACUUGAAAGGACUGGAAUUAGGGGUGGGAGAGGAGUUUCAUCUCCAUGCCCAUUCAGUCCUUAGCUUCU
ensembl:misc_RNA